CCAUGCUAUGCCCUAGGGUAUAGUAGCUGGCCGCUAAAAUUAUUAGCACGUAUUAAUAGACGAUGCGUGUGCCAUGCUGUACUACAGCUACAACUUAGGGAAACCUAACACAGCAGGUUAAACCAGCAGUUGAUGCUCAUUCAGAACCCGAAUAAAUGGGAGACACCUGUCUGCACACCUGUCUGGCACAGUACGUCGUAAUCUUUGGGUAAGGUGUAAUUAGGAGGCUCCCGGUAGAUGUGUUACAACACAUCCU
rnacentral:lncRNA from 1 species